GAUCUGGGGCGAGGAAGAUUGUGGUAGUGCGGGGGAGUAGGUGCGGUGAGUUUCUGAGGGGCUGUAUGCGGGAGUCGGGGCCGUGACGGCUGGGUGGGGACCCAACACUCAAAUUGGUGGCGGGGGUCGAAGGGGUGGUCAGGAGUGGCGCAUUCUCGCGGGCCUGGAGGCGCGGGGGGAUCGCAGGCCCAGUCUGCCCGAGACCGUUUGCAUGUGUAGGGACGCAUGGGACCCGGUGGCCGCGGGACUGAUCGUCGGGGGGGUGGAGCGCCGACGUGCAGCCUGGAGGGGAGUCUCGCCGGAUGGUGCGGCAGAGUGUUGGGACCCGACCAGUAUUCCACAGCCUUGGUGGAUGAUGCCUUGGGGGGGAUGGGGGCAAUGACAUGGAGCGACUGUGGCGUUAUUGAGACAUGUGACUUCGGGGGCCCCUGCCCAUCGGUUGGGUUGGAGCCGUGACUGUUGCAUUUUGC
rnacentral:lncRNA from 1 species